rnacentral:rRNA from 1 species
UACGUAGGGGGCAAGCGUUGUCCGGAAUCAUUGGGCGUAAAGAGCGUGUAGGCGGCCCGGUAAGUCCGCUGUGAAAGUCCAGGGCUCAACCCUGGGAUGCCGGUGGAUACUGUCGGGCUCGAGUCCGGAAGAGGAGUGUGGAAUUCCUGGUGUAGCGGUGAAAUGCGCAGAUAUCAGGAGGAACACCAAUGGCGAAGGCAGCUCUCUGGUACGUGACUGACGCUGAGACGCGAAAGCGUGGGUAGCAAACAGG